GUCGGCCUACGGGGCGCAGCAGUGAGGAAUAUUGGUCAAUGGGCGGGAGCCUGAACCAGCCAAGUCGCGUGAGGGAAGACGGUCCUAUGGAUUGUAAACCUCUUUAGGCGGGGAGCAAUGCCGGGCACGCGUGUCCGGAGGGAGAGUACCCGCAGAAUAAGCAUCGGCUAACUCCGUGCCAGCAGCCGCGGUAAUACGGAGGAUGCGAGCGUUAUCCGGCGUUAUUGGGUUUAAAGGGUGCGUAGGCGGAUUUUUAAGUCAGCGGUAAAAUGCCCGGGCUCAACCCGGGGCGGCCGUUGAAACUG
rnacentral:rRNA from 1 species